GAUGAAGAACGUAGCGAAAUGCGAUAAGUAAUGUGAAUUGCAGAAUUCAGUGAAUCAUCGAAUCUUUGAACGCACAUUGCGCCCGCCAGUAUUCUGGCGGGCAUGCCUGUUCGAGCGUCAUUACAACCCUCAGGCCCCCGGGCCUGGCGUUGGGGAUCGGCGGAAGCCCCCUGCGGGCACAACGCCGUCCCCCAAAUACAGUGGCAGUCCCGCCGCAGCUUCCAUUGCGUAGUAGCUAACACCUCGCAACUGGAGAGCGGCGCGGCCACGCCGUAAAACACCCAACUUCUGAAUGUUGACCUCGAAUCAGGUAGGAAUACCCGCUGAACUUAAGCAUAUCAAUAAGCGGAGGA
rnacentral:misc_RNA from 1 species